AUUGAACGCUGGCGGCAGGCUUAACACAUGCAAGUCGAGCGGGGGAAGGUAGCUUGCUACUGGACCUAGCGGCGGACGGGUGAGUAAUGCUUAGGAAUCUGCCUAUUAGUGGGGGACAACAUCUCGAAAGGGAUGCUAAUACCGCAUACGGCCUACGGGAGAAAGCAGGGGAUCUUCGGACCUUGCGCUAAUAGAUGAGCCUAAGUCGGAUUAGCUAGUUGGUGGGGUAAAGGCCUACCAAGGCGACGAUCUGUAGCGGGUCUGAGAGGAUGGUCCGCCACACUGGGACUGAGACACGGCCCAGACUCCUACGGGAGGCAGCAGUGGGGAAUAUUGGACAAUGGGGGGAACCCUGAUCCAGCCAUGCCGCGUGUGUGAAGAAGGCCUUAUGGUUGUAAAGCACUUUAAGCGAGGAGGAGGCUACUUUAGUUAAUACCUAGAGAUAGUGGACGUUACUCGCAGAAUAAGCACCGGCUAACUCUGUGCCAGCAGCCGCCGUAA
rnacentral:rRNA from 1 species